rnacentral:tRNA from 2 species
GCCCGAGUGGUCUAGUGGUAGAAUACGCCCUUCGGGUGGGCGUGACCCGCGUUCGAUUCGCGGCUCGGGCC